rnacentral:lncRNA from 1 species
GGUGGAUACGCGAACAGGCAGGCCCGAAACACGAUAAACUGAGACGCGCGACGAAACUAAGAGCAAGGUUCAAAUGAAAACGCGCUUGAUACGCGUUGACCAAAGGGAAACGCGAACAGGCAGGCCCGAAACACGAUAAACUGAGACGCGCGACGAAACUAAGAGCGCGGUUCAAAUGAAAACGCGCUUGAUACGCGUUGACCAAGGAAAGGAGUCCUAUCCCAUGAAGAAUCAAGAGGUUGAAUACGAUCAGAAUUUAAAGGGUUGUGAAAGUUAUAAAAAAUUUUAAAAAAAUAAAAAAAAUCAUCCAAAAAAAAAUAUAGAGAGGA